UACGUAGGGUGCGAGCGUUAAUCGGAAUUACUGGGCGUAAAGCGUGCGCAGGCGGUUUUGUAAGCCAGAUGUGAAAUCCCCGGGCUUAACCUGGGAAUGGCAUUUGGGACUGCAAGGCUGGAGUUUGGCAGAGGAGACUGGAAUUCCUGGUGUAGCAGUGAAAUGCGUAGAUAUCAGGAGGAAUACCGAUGGCGAAGGCAGGUCUCUGGGCCAUAACUGACGCUGAGAAGCGAAAGCAUGGGGAGCGAACAGG
rnacentral:rRNA from 1 species